AUCUCCGUUGGUGACCAGCGGAGGGAUCAUUACCGAGUUUACAACUCCCAAACCCAAUGUGAACGUUACCAAACUGUUGCCUCGGCGGGAUCUCUGCCCCGGGUGCGUCGCAGCCCCGGACCAAGGCGCCCGCCGGAGGACCAACCAAAACUCUUAUUGUAUACCCCCUCGCGGGUUUUUUUUAUAAUCUGAGCCUUCUCGGCGCCUCUCGUAGGCGUUUCGAAAAUGAAUCAAAACUUUCAACAACGGAUCUCUUGGUUCUGGCAUCGAUGAAGAACGCAGCGAAAUGCGAUAAGUAAUGUGAAUUGCAGAAUUCAGUGAAUCAUCGAAUCUUUGAACGCACAUUGCGCCCGCCAGUAUUCUGGCGGGCAUGCCUGUCCGAGCGUCAUUUCAACCCUCGAACCCCUCCGGGGGGUCGGCGUUGGGGAUCGGCCCUGCCUUGGCGGUGGCCGUCUCCGAAAUACAGUGGCGGUCUCGCCGCAGCCUCUCCUGCGCAGUAGUUUGCACACUCGCAUCGGGAGCGCGGCGCGUCCACAGCCGUUAAACACCCAACUUCUGAAAUGUUGACCUCGGAUCAGGUAGGAAUACCCGCUGAACUUAAGCAUAUCAAUAA
rnacentral:rRNA from 1 species